rnacentral:lncRNA from 1 species
GGGAAGAAGAGAGGGGACUCUGGCGGCGAAAACGGCAGGCGGCGCGGAGAUUCCGGCUCCUUCCUUCGGGGACGAAGCCUGACAGGCAGGCCCGGUGCGGGCGGCGCCCGCGGGGCCGGUUAGGGCGCGGUUUGGCGCGGGCGAAGCUGGGCCGGUUCGGCCCAUUUGGCCGGGCCGGUCCGGUUUUCUCCCCUUUUUUUUUCUUUUAGCCUUUUCUUUUUCUCCUUUUCUCAUUUCUUUAAUAUCUUUUGAUUUGAAACUCUAAAAUGGUCCAAAUAAAUUCCAGAAAAUUUGUAAAAUCAUGUUUAUCAUGAUUCAACUUUUGGGAGUAAUUUCCCCUCAAAAUAAAAUACAUAAAAAUACAUUUUCCCUAGAAAUGCCUUUAGGGCUAUAUAACUAUUUAAAUAAAAUACGUUUUCAACUCCAAAUAAUUAUUCAAAUAUUAUGGGAUAGCUUAUUUAUGCAAUAAACCCCUUUUAUAAUUAAACCCUAUUGG